AUUGAACGCUGGCGGAAUGCUUUACACAUGCAAGUCGAGCGGCAGCGCGGGGCAACCUGGCGGCGAGCGGCGAACGGGUGAGUAAUACAUCGGAACGUACCCAGAGGUGGGGGAUAGCCCGGCGAAAGCCGGAUUAAUACCGCAUACGACCUGAGGGUGAAAGUGGGGGACCGCAAGGCCUCACGCCGCUGGAGCGGCCGAUGUCGGAUUAGCUAGUUGGUGGGGUAAAGGCCUACCAAGGCGACGAUCCGUAGCGGGUCUGAGAGGACGGCCCGCCACACUGGAACUGAGACACGGUCCAGACUCCUACGGGAGGCAGCAGUGGGGAAUUUUGGACAAUGGGGGCAACCCUGAUCCAGCCAUUCCGCGUGAGUGAAGAAGGCCUUCGGGUUGUAAAGCUCUUUCGGCAGGGAAGAAACGGUUUCAGCUAAUACCUGGAGCUAAUGACGGUACCUGAAGAAGAAGCACCGGCUAACUACGUGCCAGCGCCGCGGUAAUACGUAGGGUGCGAGCGUUAAUCGGAAUUACUGGGCGUAAAGCGUGCGCAGGCGGUUUUGUAAGACAGAUGUGAAAUCCCCGGGCUCAACCUGGGAACUGCGUUUGUGACUGCAAGACUCGAGGUGCGGCAGAGGGGGGUGGAAUUCCACGUGGUAGCAGUGAAAUGCGUAGAGAUGUGGGAGGGAACACCGAUUGGCGAAGGCAGCCCCCCUGGGUCGACACUGACGGCUCAUGCACGAAAGCGGUGGGGAGCAAACAGGAUUUAGAUACCCUGGUAGUCCACGCCCUAAACGAUGCCAACUUAGGUGUUGGGGAAGGAGACUUCCUUAUUACCGUAGCUAACGCGUGAAAGUUGGCCGCCUGGGGAGUACGGUCGCAAGAUUAAAACUCAAAAGGAAUUGACGGGGACCCGCACAAGCGGUGGAUGAUGUGGAUUAAUUCGAUGCAACGCGAAAAACCUACCUACCCUUGACAUGUCCGGAAUCCUGCUGAGAGGUGGGAGUGCCCGAAAGGGAGCCGGAACACAGGUGCUGCAUGGCUGUCGUCAGCUCGUGUCGUGAGAUGUUGGGUUAAGUCCCGCAACGAGCGCAACCCUUGUCAUUAGUUGCCAUCAUUCAGUUGGGCACUCUAAUGAGACUGCCGGUGACAAACCGGAGGAAGGUGGGGAUGACGUCAAGUCCUCAUGGCCCUUAUGGGUAGGGCUUCACACGUCAUACAAUGGUCGGUACAGAGGGUUGCCAACCCGCGAGGGGGAGCCAAUCCCAUUAAAGCCGAUCGUAGUCCGGAUUGCAGUCUGCAACUCGACUGCAUGAAGUCGGAAUCGCUAGUAAUCGCGGAUCAGCAUGCCGCGGUGAAUACGUUCCCGGGUCUUGUACACACCGCCCGUCACACCAUGGGAGUGGGUUUCACCAGAAGUAGGUAGUCUAACCGCGAGGAGGGCGCUUACCACGGUGGGAUUCAUGACUGGGGUG
rnacentral:rRNA from 1 species